rfam:Zootermopsis nevadensis contig18804, whole genome shotgun sequence.
GCCACGGUGGUCUAGCGGUUAGAACGCUGGCCUUGUAAUCCUGGGGUCUCGGGAUCGAUUCCCGGCGGUGCCC